GAGUUUGAUCAUGGCUCAGAACGUACGCUGGCGGCACGCCUAACACAUGCAAGUCGAACGAAGUAGCAAUACUUAGUGGCAGACGGGUGAGUAACAUGUAGGUAUCUGCCCUUUGGCCUGGAAUAACACGAGGAAACUUGUGCUAAUACCGGAUAAGUCUUUACGGAGAAAGCUUUAUGCACCAUUGGAUGAGCCUGCACUUGAUUAGUUAGUUGGUAGGGUAAAAGCCUACCAAGACUUUGAUCAAUAGCUGAUUUGAGAGGAUGAUCAGCCACAUUGGGACUGAGACACGGCCCAAACUCCUACGGGAGGCAGCAGUGGGGAAUCUUGCACAAUGGAGGAAACUCUGAUGCAGCGAUGCCGCGUGAGUGAAGAAGGCCUUUGGGUUGUAAAGCUCUUUCGUCGGGGAAGAAAAUGACUGUACCCGAAUAAGAAGGUCCGGCUAACUUCGUGCCAGCAGCCGCGGUAAUACGAAGGGACCUAGCGUAGUUCGGAAUUACUGGGCUUAAAGAGUUCGUAGGUGGUUGAAAAAGUUGGUGGUGAAAUCCCAGAGCUUAACUCUGGAACUGCCAUCAAAACUUUUCAGCUAGAGUUUGAUAGAGGAAAGCAGAAUUUCUAGUGUAGAGGUGAAAUUCGUAGAUAUUAGAAAGAAUACCAAUUGCGAAGGCAGCUUUCUGGAUCAUUACUGACACUGAGGAACGAAAGCAUGGGUAGCGAAGAGGAUUAGAUACCCUCGUAGUCCAUGCCGUAAACGAUGUGUGUUAGACGUUGGAAAUUUAUUUUCAGUGCCGCAGCGAAAGCGAUAACACACCGCCUGGGGAGUACGACCGCAAGGUUAAAACUCAAAUGAAUUGACGGGG
rnacentral:rRNA from 1 species